GAUCGGCGUAAGGGUGGUUAAGGAAAAAAUCAAAAUAAUGCUAAAGACCCUCUAAGCAGUCAUACGCUCCACGGGGGCGCGAAACCCAAAUACGAAAGUUGCCUUAAUAAGAUUUACCUGACCCCACGAAAGCUGAGAAACAAACUGGGAUUAGAUACCCCACUAUG
rnacentral:rRNA from 1 species